rnacentral:lncRNA from 1 species
UUGGUCUCAAGUGGAUAAAUAGAUUAAAAUAUUUUUUUUAAUGAGAAAAUGAAAAAAAAUGCAACCUACUAGUUGAGUUCAUUAUGGUACUUAAGGUUACCACAUGGUAUCACACUUUUACAGUACUCUGAAAAAGCCUGACAGAUAUUUAAUAACAUAAAAGAUAUUCAUGUAGUCAGAAGAACAGAUUUUCUCCUUUCCCACUGCGAAAACACAGAAAGGAAAAUGCUCAAGUUGAAACCAGAGGAGGUUUAGUUAGAUUUAAAGAUUUAGAAAUUGUUAUGUAGGAUUAGGUGAAGAAAUCUAAAAUAUUCUUUCCUGUUGUAAGAAGAGAGAGGCCUGUCUGUCAGGAAUGCCUAGAAAAUAUCACAGGACAGCCAGACUGACAAUUUCUUUGGCACCAUAUUUCUUUUGUCUGCUUCUGAUUUAUCAGACACUGGAGUGUACACAUAUAGGCAUUCAGGCACUUACUGAAUUCAGUAAGUAUUUGUUGAAUGAAUGAAUGUCUAAUCAAAAUCAGAAGUCAAACAUCUUCACUAUUGUGUAUCCACUUUAGCCAAUCCUUAUAACUACUGAAAGUAAGAGAGAUCUUAGAAAUCCAAGUGAUGUGUGCACGGUCAAAACAGCGAGAGAGUGGCAAAUCUUAAACUUCAGUCUCCCACUUUUAAGUCCUGUCAAUUAAACAACCAUGGGGGCAGCCCGGGUGGCUCAGUGGUUUAGUGCCGCCGUCAGCCCAGGGCCUGAUCCUGGAGACCCGGGAUCGAGUCCCACGUCGGGCUCCUCUGCCUGUGUCUCUGCCUUUCUCUGUGUGUGUGUGUCUCUCAUGAAUAAAUAAAAUCUUUAAAAAAAUAAUAAUAAUAAUGAACAACCAUGGAACUCUGUCCAAGGAAAAAUAAUUAACCUCUAUUUUCUCCUUAUAUUAUAAAUCAAUAUAUAUGUACCCUGAGUCCCAAUAACUGGCUAUAGAUUCAGACCAACCAAAUUAAAAUACGUUGUGUUCAUCAUUGGCCAAGCAUCAUUGUGGCACUCUUGCAUUAAUGGUUGUUAUGCAAAAAUCAGGGAUAUUCUGUUAGUAGAGAUUUGAAGCCAAAUGUUUUGAUUCUACUUCAUUCUUUUUCGAUAUCUUGAGAAAUCAUAGAAUUCACUGGACAAUUAAAUAGGAUGACCAUUUAUUUCAUUAUCCAAAUGAAACAUUUUGAAAAUGAAAGGAUUAUGACAUCAAGCAUAAACUGGCUCUGUCCUGGGAAAAACUAGAAGAUCAUUCUGGUUCUGUCCCUUGAUCUCUUCCUUUAACAAAGCAUACCUGUAUAACCAUAAUCCUACAUCACUCCUUCAUAAAGAUUUGCUACUUUUGGAUCAGCUUAUGUGUCUAAACUUCUUAAAAUUCUUUAGUAGGAAUUUUCACUUUGCAUACUAUAAAAGUAGCUGGAGUGUUUCAAGGGAUUCUAAGUGAAUCAGAGUUAAUAGUGUUGUAAUAUAUUAAUUAAAUUAUGAUUGUUUACAUAAAGUCAAUUUCUAUUCAAAAUUUCCAAGGAACAGCAAACUCUUUUUCUGUGUAGGGUGAUAUCAAUAGUGUUUUACAAAGGAACUGGGGUGGGGAGUAGGCUAGAUGCUAAGACCCCAAUUUCUUACACAACACCACAAUGUCAUUCUAUAUUUAUAUAAUGACUUUGGGUUGGAAAUUUGAAAAGAAGGGGUUAUUAGCUGAGUAACUUCUCAGUGAAUAGUAGAAAAAGUAGAAAAUGUCAAUUCCCACUUACUACAGCUUAAUUAGAACUUUUUAAAAGUUAUUUUCAAAUUUCAGCAUUUUGAAAUGUCAACUUGUAACACUUGCAAAUAAUUUCUAAAAAGCUGUACAAACUAAGCCUUAUACCUUCACCUUUUAGAAGUAACCCAUAGUGACCCUGGGUUGCUUUGGAGAACUAUAAAACCUCUCAUCUUCCCAGAGCUCACCUCCCUGUACCGUAAAAUAAAGCUAAGAAAGGGGCUUGAAUUGAGAGUUCCGUAGGUUUGAACUCAGGGUCGAUGAGUUUACUUUCUGUUUACAGCCAUCUGUGAGGGUCAGGGUGUCUUUAAAAACAGACCAGGUUGUUCAUUGUUUGGUGGUAUCAGGAACAUAAAUAAUCUAAUUUCCUGUGGUCCAUGUGCUGUGUAAACUGCUUCUUAAGUGUGGACAAGCCAGAACCAGUCAGGACCCUUCCAGAGAAAUUUGAGGAUUUUAUGUAGCUAGGGAGAUGCUGACAAUCUGUUGUGCAUCCUUAGAAACACCUUUCAGUGAAAAGCUAGCUAAGGAUGACUUUGCCUGAACAAAAGGCACAUCUCCUUCCAUGAUCAUUUUUCUGCAGAUUUCACCCAUCUGCUAACAUCUACACAUCUUCCAGUUGACACAGCCAGUUUGGAGCCAUCGUGAUAUCCGUAUGAACGUGGAAGAUGGAUUUUUAAUAGUCUUCACUAGGAGAAACUGCAUGAUUUGAGAUUAAAACAAAAAAAUAUAUAUCACAGGCAUAGGUUUGUAUCCACCCAACUGCACCCCAUCUGACCACCCAGGUAAAGUCAUUAACUCCUGAACAAUUUCAUACAUCUAGGGGUGGGGAGGAAAAUGAAGCUGUAUCUCCCACCCUGACUGGUUCCUAACCCCACAAGGUGGGCUAUGAAAUGGUUCUCAUCCCACCCUGAGCCUAAACAUGUGGCUGUUACCACAGGGAAUUCCCUGACCUCUCCCCAACUAGAAGCUCUUUGGCAAAGAUGUUUUUCCCCC